AUACGUAGGUGGCGAGCGUUAAUCGGAUUUACUGGGCGUAAAGGGUCCGUAGGGGGUCUGUCAAGUCGGGUGUGAAAUCCUGCGGCUCAACCGCGGAACUGCACUCGAUACUGACGGGCUUGAGUCCGCGAGGGGUGAACGGAAUUCCUGGUGUAGCGGUGGAAUGCGUGGAUAUCAGGAAGAACACCGACGGCGAAAGCGGUUCACUGGCGCGGCACUGACCCUGAGGGACGAAAGCAUGGGUAGCGAACAGGAUUAGAUACCCUGGUAGUCCAUGCCGUAAACGUUGUGCGCUAGAUGUGGGGGGUCUGAUCCCCUCCGUGUCCAAGCUAACGCGAUAAGCGCACCGCCUGGGGACUACGGUCGCAAGACUAAA
rnacentral:rRNA from 1 species